rnacentral:rRNA from 1 species
UACGGAGGAUGCAAGCGUUAUCCGGAAUGAUUGGGCGUAAAGCGUCCGCAGGUGGCAAUGUAAGUCUGCUGUUAAAGAGUCUAGCUCAACUAGAUAAAAGCAGUGGAAACUACAUAGCUAGAGUACGUUCGGGGCGGAGGGAAUUCCUGGUGUAGCGGUGAAAUGCGUAGAGAUCAGGAAGAACACCGGUGGCGAAGGCGCUCUGCUAGGCCGUAACUGACACUGAGGGACGAAAGCUAGGGGAGCGAAUGGG